rnacentral:rRNA from 1 species
UCAUGGCAGUGGAAACUGAAAGGCUUGAGUAUGGUAGGGGCAGAGGGAAUUCCCGGUGUAGCGGUGAAAUGCGUAGAUAUCGGGAAGAACACCAGUGGCGAAGGCGCUCUGCUGGGCCAUUACUGACGCUCAUGGACGAAAGCCAGGGGAGCGAAAGGGAUUAGAUACCCCUGUAGUCCUGGCCGUAAACGAUGAACACUAGGUGUCGGGGGAAUCGACCCCUUCGGUGUCGUAGCUAACGCGUUAAGUGUUCCGCCUGGGGAGUACGCACGCAAGUGUGAAACUCAAAGGAAUUGACGGGGGCCCGCACAAGCGGUGGAGUAUGUGGUUUAAUUCGAUGCAACGCGAAGAACCUUACCAGGGUUUGACAUCCUGCGAACCUCUUAGAAAUUUGAGGGUGCCUUCGGGAAUGCAGUGACAGGUGGUGCAUGGCUGUCGUCAGCUCGUGUCGUGAGAUGUUGGGUUAAGUCCCGCAACGAGCGCAACCCACGUUUUUAGUUGCCAGCAUUUAGUUGGGCACUCUAGAAAGACCGCCGGUGAUAAACCGGAGGAAGGUGUGGAUGACGUCAAGUCAUCAUGCCCCUUACACCCUGGGCUACACACGUACUACAAUGCUACGGACAAAGGGCAGCAAACUCGCGAGAGCUAGCAAAUCCCAUAAACCGUGGCUCAGUUCAGAUCGUAGGCUGCAACUCGCCUACGUGAAGUAGGAAUCGCUAGUAAUCGCAGGUCAGCAUACUGCGGUGAAUACGUUCCCGGGCCUUGUACACACCGCCCGUCACACCAUGGAAGUUGGCCAUGCCCGAAGUCGUUACUCCAACCCUUGUGGAGGAGGACGCCGAAGGUGGGGCUAAUGACUGGGGUGAAGUCGUAACAAGGUAGCCGUACCGGAAGG